CGUGUCGUGAGAUGUUGGGUUAAGUCCCGUAACGAGCGCAACCCUUGUCCUUAGUUACCAGCACGUAAUGGUGGGCACUCUAAGGAGACUGCCGGUGACAAACCGGAGGAAGGUGGGGAUGACGUCAAGUCAUCAUGGCCCUUACGGCCUGGGCUACACACGUGCUACAAUGGUCGGUACAGAGGGUUGCCAAGCCGCGAGGUGGAGCUAAUCCCAGAAAACCGAUCGUAGUCCGGAUCGCAGUCUGCAACUCGACUGCGUGAAGUCGGAAUCGCUAGUAAUCGCGAAUCAGAAUGUCGCGGUGAAUACG
rnacentral:rRNA from 1 species